rnacentral:rRNA from 2 species
UACAACGAAACUGCGAAUGGCUCGGUAAAACAGCAAUAAUUUAUUCGGGGGUAAUUGCUACUUGGAUAACCGUAGUAAAGCUAGAGCUAAUACGUGCUACAAAGGCGAGACUCGCUCUCGUGGUACUAAGUAUUAGGUACAACCCAAUUUUUUUGGUGAUUCAUACUUAUCUUCUGAUCGCACUCUGUGCGACGCCCCGAAUAAAUUUCUGACCUAUCAACUUCGAUGGUAAGGUAGUGUCUUACCAUGGUUGUGACGGGUAACGGACCGUGGGUGCGGGAUUCCGGAGAGGGAGCCUGAGAAACGGCUACCACAUCCAAGGAAGGCAGCAGGCGCGCAACUUACCCAAUCCGAACUUCGGGAGGUAGUGACAAAAAAUAUCAAUAAGGGGACCGAUGGUCUUCUUAAUUGGAAUGAAAACAAUCUAAACACCUUAUUAAGGAACCAGCAGAGGGCAAGUCUGGUGCCAGCAGCCGCGGUAAUUCCAGCUCUGUAAGCGUAUACCAAAGUUGUUGCAGUUAAAACGCUCGUAGUCGAACUUUGGCGUGAGUUACGGAGACUCCUAAUGGACGUUGAAGUAACUCCGCCUUUGUGGAGGGGGGUGCGGUGGUACUUUAUUGUAUUGCUGCGCUUCCGCCACUGUUUACUGUGAAAAAAUUAGAGUGUUCAAAGCGAGCGUUUGCCAUGAAUACAUUAGCAUGGAAUAAUAGAAUAGGACCUGAUCCUGUUUUGUUGGUUUGUCUGUAUCAGGUAAUGAUUAACAGGGACGGUCGGGGGCAUUUGUAUUCCAGCGUUAGAGGUGAAAUUCUUGGAUCGCUGGAAGACAAACAGCUGCGAAAGCGUCUGCCAAGGACGUUUUCAUUGAUCAAGAACGAAAGUAAGGGGAUCGAAGACGAUCAGAUACCGUCGUAGUCUUUACUAUAAACGAUGAUGACUAAGGAUCAGCCGUGGCCUAUUGGUACGGUUGGCACUUUCCGGGAAACCAAAGUUUUUGAUUUCUGGGGGGAGUAUGGUCGCAAGUCUGAAACUUAAAGGAAUUGACGGAAGGGCAUCACCGGGUGUGGAGCCUGCGGCUUAAUUUGACUCAACACGGGAAAACUUACCAGGUCCAGACAUAGUAAGGAUUGACAGAUUGAGAGCUCUUUCUUGAUUCUAUGGUUGGUG